UAGGGAAUCUUCCGCAAUGGACGCAAGUCUGACGGAGCAACGCCGCGUGUGUGAAGAAGGAUUUCGGUUCGUAAAACUCUGUUGUUAGAGAAGAACAGCGCAUAGAGUAACUGUUAUGCGUGUGACGGUAUCUAACCAGAAAGCCACGGCUAACUACGUGCCAGCAGCCGCGGUAAUACGUAGGUGGCAAGCGUUGUCCGGAUUUAUUGGGCGUAAAGCGAGCGCAGGCGGUCAAUUAAGUCUGAUGUGAAAACCCCCGGCUCAACCGGGGAGGGUCAUUGGAAACUGGUUGACUUGAGUGCAGGAGAGGAGGGUGGAAUUCCAUGUGUAGCGGUGAAAUGCGUAGAUAUAUGGAGGAACACCAGUGGCAAAGGCGACUCUCUGGUCUAUAACUGACGCUGAGGCUCGAAAGCGUGGGUAGCAAACAGG
rnacentral:rRNA from 1 species